rnacentral:lncRNA from 10 species
GCCAUGUGUGAGAGAAGCAAGCAAUGCACUGUGACUAGAACAGGGAAGAUGAUGAGAAUUCUGGCUACAGUUAUUAUACUCACAGUUUUCACAGAGUAUGUGACUACUGAUUGCCCAGCCUCUCUUGAAGCUACAUAUGGCCAUGUGACUAUAUCCUCAUCGAUGUAAUUUCAGCACAACUGUUGUGUACAAGUUCUUUACCACUUCCUCAGGAGGGAAGUCUUGACCUUCGUUUCCUGGAUAUUGGAACACAGACAUGGUGCUGCUAAACUACUCCGGAUUUUGUAGAUAAGGAUAACACAUUAGGGAAUGGUGGAGCAACAAGAGAGAUGAAAACUGAGUUCUUUGAUGACCUCAUGGGCAAAACGACCCAUCUACCUCUUUGUUACAGCAGCUUAGCCUCACUCUGACUGAUGCAGGGAUCAUCAACAUAUAUUGAAACAUGAGGAUGAAUGAGAUUACCCAGGAAAAGAAGAAAAGAAACUUAAAGGAGCACAAUAAUAAAUAGCCAAUGUCUAAAAGGUGAGCAGAGGCCCUUUGAUGAGACUGAAAAGAAGGAAAACCACAGAGACAGGAAGAGAUCAAGAGAGAGGAGAGGAGUGUUUCAAAAAGGAAGACCCAUUUAGGAAUAUAAAAUGGGGCAGAAGGAAACUAAGAUGGAGAUUAAAAAGAAGCUAAUGAAUUUCGUGACUUUGGCCAGAACAAUGUCAGUGAAGUAAUAGGGUGGACGAAUGGCCUAUUAAAAGUUAAUAGGGUUGGGUGCGGUGGCUCAUGUCUGUAAUCCUAGCUAGCACUUUGGGAGGCUAAGCAGGGCAGAUCGAUUGAGCCCAGAGUUGGAGGCCAGCCUGGGCAACGUAGCAAAACCCUGUCUCUACAAAAAGUACAAAAAGUACUUAGCUAGGUGUGGUGGGACGCUUGUAGUCCCAGCUACUUAAGAGGCUGAGGUGGGAGGAUCCCUUGAGCCAGAGAGGCUGCAGUGAGCCGUAAUUGUGCCACUGCACUCCAGCCUGGGAGACAAAGUGAGACCCUAUCUCAAAAAAAAGAAAGAAAGAAAAAAAUUUAAUAGGAAGGAAAGAAGCAGAUUCAGUUAGGAAAGACUACUGUUUCAAGAAGUAAGAAGAAAUGGAGAAAAACAUAUACAGGUUUGCCCAAAUUCCUAAGUGUGGGGCAAAGUAAAGCCAUGGUAACUCAAAGGAAUUAGAAACCAAAUAAGAGGAUGUAUUUACUGUCCUGGAUCUGGUUGGGCACGCCCAUCAGUCAUAACACCAGAAAUAAGGAAGGAAGUCAAGGUAAGUUUUGAUCCUACCCCAGAACCACCGAUGUGAAGACAACAUCCCAAGAAAAUCACCAACAUUUAAAAAUAACUUGAGAAUCUACAUUUCUGUAAACUUUUUUAGUAAAUACUUGUACGUUGACAGGUAUUUCCAAACUAACAUUGGUGGUGCCUCUAUUACAUGAUGGCAAUAUUAAACCCACACAGACACAAAGGAAGGGAAGUGAAUGUCAGUUAAUUUCCCAGAAGACACACGAUUUCCAUCUAUCACAUCCCUGCAGUUAGAACACUUCCAUUCAACUUCCCCAACCCCAGGAGAGGGCUCCACGUACCUGCCCUUAAUUAAUUGGUUUCUAUUCUCACACCUUCCUCUUAGGUCAUCAUUUUCUGGGAUAAUUGGUAUCUAUGAAAUCUCACUAGAGUCAGUUUCCUUCUACUAAAAAGAAGCUUAAAUUGCAACCUAAGGAAGAAAUCUAUUCUAUAUUUAACUAACUUUGUCCCUGUUGUUUAAUAACUAGUCCUAUUUGCUGCAUCCUGAAGUUAUAUAUACAGGGAAAAGUCAAAAAAAAAAACACCUAAGUACAUAAUGUUCAUCAAUAUUUGAGCCCUAACCUCAGAAAAUUGAUUAUACUGUUGAUUACAAUUUAUUUAUUCUAAUAAUUAGGCAAUAUAUGUUGCAUUACUCCACAUUCUUUUACUUGCUGGUGAACUUUUAUACUCAUAUUUUAAGUACAGAUUUUACCAAAAUAAAAAGUUUUGAUAAGUGUUUUGCAAUUUUGUUAGCAUGGUAGGAUUUUUAUGAACCAAUGUCUACUCCUUUCUACAGCUGUACUUCUUAUUUAAGUUACGUCGUCACAGUGGGGAUACUAUCAUAUAAACCAAGACUGAUAUAAGAAAUUUCUCUCUGAAAUAUGUUGCUGUGCUUGGUGUAAAGAUAAGUUGAAUAUGUUUUUACGUUAUUCCUUAUAUUACACAGCAAACUCCUUCUGAUAUCCCAUGAGAGGAUUUUCUCAUUGAUUCUGGUUCUAGGAAUAGCUAUGAUUCAUGUGAGCAACUGACAUCUUAAUUUUAUGGAUACUAAAAAUCAAAUAACCAAUUGCUUUCUUCACUGGCUCCUAGUAACCUUAACACCAAACAAUGUCCUCCCCCUACAGAUGCAUAAAAUUUUAUGACAAAUAUUUUUAAGAACUAGG